GUGUCAGCAGCCGCGGUAAUACAGAGGUCCCAAGCGUUGUUCGGAUUCACUGGGCGUAAAGGGUGCGUAGGUGGUCGGGUAAGUCUGAGGUGAAAUCUCCGAGCUCAACUCGGAAACUGCCUUGGAUACUAUCCGGCUUGAGGGUUGGAGGGGGGACUGGAAUUCUCGGUGUAGCAGUGAAAUGCGUAGAUAUCGAGAGGAACACCAGUGGCGAAGGCGAGUCCCUGGACAACUCCUGACGCUGAGGCACGAAAGCUAGGGGAGCAAACAGGAUUAGAAACCCUCGUAGUCC
rnacentral:rRNA from 1 species